CAGAACUCAAAUCAUUAACGACAUUGUAUGAGAGGCAGUCUUAGGCUUCUUCCGGAAGUGACAGACAACCAAACUUUCCCUUUCCCAAGACAUACAUACAGCCUUCUCUUUCUCUUUCUCUUUCUCUUUCUCUUUCUCUUUCUCUUUUUCUUCCUCCCUUCACAAUCACAAGUCACUUAUCUUCUUUUCUGUAGACAACCAAGGAACUCAAUGUAAAGUAAAUCAGAGCAUAAAGAAAACCAAGGAACAAAGUUAUCCCUUUUUACAGAUUGGCAUGACUCCAUAAAUUAUGUAGGAAGACAUUCCUUACUUCAUAUCGUAACAAAUCUUUAUGCUUUAGCAAUGCACCACGCUAAUUAUUCCAUCGCAUUCCAUGCCAGGAAGCCUCCCUGCUAUACUCAGAUUCAUUCUCUAAUAGCCAAGCAACCAAAAAUGCCCAGCAACACUAUAUCACACCUCAUUCCUCCAUGCCUUCACAUCUUUCUGCAUUCAAACCCCCAACACCAUGAACUCUGCCCUCAAGCUCGUCUCUUUCCACUAUCAUCCCUCUUUCAACCUAAAACAACGCCCACUGUCCCAACGCCAGCAGAUAAGCGCCGAGUGGGGGAAGAGGCAACAAUAUUCGCCAAAGCCCAUACGAGCGAUACCAGUGCCAAAUGCAACGGGGGGACUCAACAAUGCUGACCGCGGAGGUAAUACCUUACCAUCUUCACCCAUGACAAAUGUGAUUCAGGAGUUCUACUCUUCCCUCAAUGACAAGGACAUCGCGCGGCUCACGCAGCUGAUUCACCCUGAUUGCACCAUGAAGCACACUUCAUAUUAUAAACCACUGGACAUCAAGGUUUUACCCGCACCUCAUUUUCUCACAUGCCCCAACAACUCAUGGUUGAGUCCCCUGCAUAUUUGACCACUGGACAACAACUACUUUGCUGCCUGCAGAAUACAAUUACCUACUUCGCAAGGCUUAUGGAAGCUAUGAGAAAGAAUGUCAAAUUUGCCAUUGAUGAGGUCUGUCACGGAGUAGAACCCACUGUUGCUGCAGCAAUGUGGCACCUUG
rnacentral:lncRNA from 1 species